GUGCUCACUUCAGCAGCACAUAUACCAAAAUUGGAACGAUACAGAGAUUAGCAUGGCCUCUGCGCAAGGAUAAUAUGCAAAUUAGGGAAGCAGUCCAUAUAUUU
ensembl:snRNA U6 U6 spliceosomal RNA